GCAUUAAUGGGGUAGUGGUAACCUGGGUCGUUGCCAUAGGUGUAAUAUUGCGUGUCCUUCGACCCGCCGGGGGUUCGAUUCCCUCUUAAUGCA